UCUCAAGCAAUUCGCCGCCUAUGUGUACAGCUGAUUGAAGAGCCGUUGUGUUUGUUUUCCAUCGUUUAAACUUGCUGCCAGUCAUCUGUACAUAUUUUUCUCACGGAUAACGACCUAUUUUAUUGUUAUAAUGGACUAUGAAUAUGGGAACAACUCUAUUUUUAAAAAAAAGAUAUUUUUUUUUUCUUUUACAUGUUAAGUGUUUGAAAAGAUGUGUUGUAGAAAUUGAUGUAGUGCUAGGCAGAUAAUUCCAUUUUUGUGUGUGUGAUAUUAAUGCGAAGGGCAAUAUUUUUAUGAAGGAUGCGUUUUAAAAUUUGUAAAAUGUGCAUGAAUGGAGAUAUACGAUGUCUACAUCGCCUGAUUGUUUGCUAUAGAUCGGGUAAAAUCCUGCAGCCAUGAAAUGGGACCCUUAGGGUUGUUUAUUUUAAUGUGCAUUUCCACUUUUAUCCAUAAAGUGGAUAUAGCAUUUUUUUAAGUCUUUCAUGACCGAUAUGUGUCCCAUUUUUGAUCUCUAUAGUGAAUGUAUUUUGUAUAUUAACUUGUAUGAAUGAACAGAAUAUUACAAAUACAUGUAUGUUACCAUGGGGCAUUUUAUAGAAAUAUAUUUGCUCCUUUUAUCAGGUGCAUAAUUUCUAAGAAAUAAUAGGUAAAAAAAACUCGAUAAAAAAAUGUCAAAAUGUCAGAAUAAAUUAAUUUAUAUGUUGC
rnacentral:misc_RNA from 1 species